GGUAACGGGCCGGUCGUAAAUCAGCACCGGGCGCGGAGGAGCAGCACAUCCUGAGUCACAGCCCCAUCGCUGCAAGAUGGGCGUUUGUGAGGUUUAUUACAGCUUAAAGUUGGCGCUUUCAAAAGCGCUAAUGAAAAUGCCCUGCGAAUCCCAAACCGGAAAAUGUCAAGAUGCACAUCCACAGGGCGAUGCACCAGGCUCGGGACAGAGCCGGGGCUUGCUCUUAAGAGAUCGCUGUAAUUACUGUCAGUAAUUGUGUUUUAUCUUCUCUUCAAACGGUGCCGGUGAAAGCAUCUUUCAGGAGACUCGUGGCGCGUUAAGAGUUAUUUUUCUGCUGCCACAGUUGUCUCGCAGCUCGUCGGAGGUUACGAGUCCCCAGGAGACGAUUUACGGAGCAUCCCCGAGAGGAAAGUUUUCCACCAGUCUUCUUUUAGGAGAAACUGGAGGAUUUGGCCAGCAAGCAACACCCCUCACCCCAUACACUCCAAAACUGGCGUCCUGCACGUUUAAGAUUUCCAUAUUUUUACUUGCAUAUACUGCUUUUUUAGCUUACAAUGGAUACGCUGGAACCACUUGACUGCCUGGCCGUGGCAUUGUAGGAGAACAGCAAUAAAGAAUUAAUUGUACAAACAUUUAUCAUCCCCAGAUCAAACUCUCCUUGUGAGGCUGGGGCUUAACUUGUGGAGAAGAAAAGGGGGAGGAAGGGUGGUAAUGGCGGAGAGGGCGUUUGUGGGUUUUUUGUGUGUUUCCUUUUAUUCCAGACGACUGUAUAAUGAAAAUCCUUUUAGCCUUGAAGAACUACUAAGUAUUAAGCACAGCUUAAAACGGGGAGUAGCUUUCGAGACAGUUUGGUCCUCCUGUCAUUCCUUUUAGGAAAAGGUCGUACCCCUUCCCUUAUUUUCCCGCUAGUAAAAGCUUCCCUUUUCAAAGAAGUUUUUAA